rnacentral:rRNA from 1 species
GGGUUGUGAGGUUAAGCGACUAAGCGUACACGGUGGAUGCCCUGGCAGUCAGAGGCGAUGAAGGACGUGCUAAUCUGCGAAAAGCGUCGGUAAGGUGAUAUGAACCGUUAUAGCCGGCGAUGUCCGAAUGGGGAAACCCAGUGCAAUUCGUUGCACUAUCGUUAACUGAAUACAUAGGUUAACGAGGCGAACCGGGGGAACUGAAACAUCUAAGUACCCCGAGGAAAAGAAAUCAACCGAGAUUCCCCCAGUAGCGGCGAGCGAACGGGGAGCAGCCCGGAGUCUGAAUCAGCUUGUGUGUUAGUGGAAGCGUCUGGAAAGUCGCAGGGUACAGGGUGAUACUCCCGUACACUAAAACACACAGGUUGUGAACUCGAAGAGUAGGGCGGGACACGUGGUAUCCUGUCUGAAUAUGGGGGGACCAUCCUCCAAGGCUAAAUACUCCUGACUGACCGAUAGUGAACCAGUACCGUGAGGGAAAGGCGAAAAGAACCCCGGCGAGGGGAGUGAAAAAGAACCUGAAACCGUGUACGUACAAGCAGUAGGAGCCCACUAGUUGGGUGACUGCGUACCUUUUGUAUAAUGGGUCAGCGACUUAUAUUCUGUAGCAAGGUUAACCGUAUAGGGGAGCCGCAGGGAAACCGAGUCUUAACUGGGCGUUAAGUUGCAGGGUAUAGACCCGAAACCCGGUGAUCUAGCCAUGGGCAGGUUGAAGGUUGGGUAACACUAACUGGAGGACCGAACCGACUAAUGUUGAAAAAUUAGCGGAUGACUUGUGGCUGGGGGUGAAAGGCCAAUCAAACCGGGAGAUAGCUGGUUCUCCCCGAAAGCUAUUUAGGUAGCGCCUCGUGAACUCAUCUUCGGGGGUAGAGCACUGUUUCGGCUAGGGGGUCAUCCCGACUUACCAACCCGAUGCAAACUACGAAUACCGAAGAAUGUUAUCACGGGAGACACACGGCGGGUGCUAACGUCCGUCGUGAAGAGGGAAACAACCCAGACCGCCAGCUAAGGUCCCAAAGUCAUGGUUAAGUGGGAAACGAUGUGGGAAGGCCCAGACAGCCAGGAUGUUGGCUUAGAAGCAGCCAUCAUUUAAAGAAAGCGUAAUAGCUCACUGGUCGAGUCGGCCUGCGCGGAAGAUGUAACGGGGCUAAACCAUGCACCGAAGCUGCGGCAGCGACACUAUGUGUUGUUGGGUAGGGGAGCGUUCUGUAAGCCGUUGAAGGUGGCCUGUGAGGGUUGCUGGAGGUAUCAGAAGUGCGAAUGCUGACAUAAGUAACGAUAAUGCGGGUGAAAAACCCGCACGCCGGAAGACCAAGGGUUCCUGUCCAACGUUAAUCGGGGCAGGGUGAGUCGACCCCUAAGGCGAGGCCGAAAGGCGUAGUCGAUGGGAAACAGGUUAAUAUUCCUGUACUCGGUGUUACUGCGAAGGGGGGACGGAGAAGGCUAUGUUGGCCGGGCGACGGUUGUCCCGGUUUAAGCAUGUAGGCGGAUGUUCCAGGUAAAUCCGGAACGUUAUUAACGCUGAGGUGUGAUGACGAGGCACUACGGUGCUGAAGUGACAAAUGCCCUGCUUCCAGGAAAAGCCUCUAAGCAUCAGGUAACAUCAAAUCGUACCCCAAACCGACACAGGUGGUCAGGUAGAGAAUACCAAGGCGCUUGAGAGAACUCGGGUGAAGGAACUAGGCAAAAUGGUGCCGUAACUUCGGGAGAAGGCACGCUGAUGGUAGGUGAAGUGACUUGCUCAUGGAGCUGAAAUCAGUCGAAGAUACCAGCUGGCUGCAACUGUUUAUUAAAAACACAGCACUGUGCAAACACGAAAGUGGACGUAUACGGUGUGACGCCUGCCCGGUGCCGGAAGGUUAAUUGAUGGGGUUAUCCGUAAGGAGAAGCUCUUGAUCGAAGCCCCGGUAAACGGCGGCCGUAACUAUAACGGUCCUAAGGUAGCGAAAUUCCUUGUCGGGUAAGUUCCGACCUGCACGAAUGGCGUAAUGAUGGCCAGGCUGUCUCCACCCGAGACUCAGUGAAAUUGAACUCGCUGUGAAGAUGCAGUGUACCCGCGGCAAGACGGAAAGACCCCGUGAACCUUUACUAUAGCUUGACACUGAACACUGGUCCUUGAUGUGUAGGAUAGGUGGGAGGCUUUGAAGUGUGGACGCCAGUCUGCAUGGAGCCAUCCUUGAAAUACCACCCUUUAAUGGCUGGUGUUCUAACGUGGGCCCCUAAUCGGGGUUGCGGACAGUGUCUGGUGGGUAGUUUGACUGGGGCGGUCUCCUCCUAAAGAGUAACGGAGGAGCACGAAGGUCAGCUAAUCCUGGUCGGACAUCAGGAGGUUAGUGCAAUGGCAUAAGCUGGCUUGACUGCGAGCGUGACGGCGCGAGCAGGUGCGAAAGCAGGUCAUAGUGAUCCGGUGGUUCUGAAUGGAAGGGCCAUCGCUCAACGGAUAAAAGGUACUCCGGGGAUAACAGGCUGAUACCGCCCAAGAGUUCAUAUCGACGGCGGUGUUUGGCACCUCGAUGUCGGCUCAUCACAUCCUGGGGCUGAAGUAGGUCCCAAGGGUAUGGCUGUUCGCCAUUUAAAGUGGUACGCGAGCUGGGUUUAGAACGUCGUGAGACAGUUCGGUCCCUAUCUGCCGUGGGCGCUGGAGAAUUGAGGGGGGCUGCUCCUAGUACGAGAGGACCGGAGUGGACGCAUCACUGGUGUUCGGGUUGUCAUGCCAAUGGCAUUGCCCGGUAGCUAAAUGCGGAAGAGAUAAGUGCUGAAAGCAUCUAAGCACGAAACUUGCCCCGAGAUGAGUUCUCCCUGACUCCCUGAGAGUCCUGAAGGAACGUUGAAGACGACGACGUUGAUAGGCCGGGUGUGUAAGCGCAGCGAUGCGUUGAGCUAACCGGUACUAAUGAACCGUGAGGCUUAACCUUACAACGCCGAAG